rnacentral:rRNA from 1 species
CCCCUGAUCGGGGUUGCGGACAGUGUCUGGUGGGUAGUUUGACUGGGGCGGUCUCCUCCUAAAGAGUAACGGAGGAGCACGAAGGUUGGCUAAUCCUGGUCGGACAUCAGGAGGUUAGUGCAAUGGCAUAAGCCAGCUUGACUGCGAGCGUGACGGCGCGAGCAGGUGCGAAAGCAGGUCAUAGUGAUCCGGUGGUUCUGAAUGGAAGGGCCAUCGCUCAACGGAUAAAAGGUACUCCGGGGAUAACAGGCUGAUACCGCCCAAGAGUUCAUAUCGACGGCGGUGUUUGGCACCUCGAUGUCGGCUCAUCACAUCCUGGGGCUGAAGUAGGUCCCAAGGGUAUGGCUGUUCGCCAUUUAAAGUGGUACGCGAGCUGGGUUUAGAACGUCGUGAGACAGUUC